GUGAGGAAUCUUCCACAAUGGGCGAAAGCCUGAUGGAGCAACGCCGCGUGAAGGAUGAAGGUCUUCGGAUUGUAAACUUCUUUUAUGAGUGAAGAAUAUGACGGUAACUCAUGAAUAAGCCCCGGCUAACUACGUGCCAGCAGCCGCGGUCAUACGUAGGGUGCAAGCAUUAUCCGGAGUGACUGGGCGUAAAGAGUUGCGUAGGCGGUUAUGUAAGCGAAUAGUGAAACCUGGUGGCUCAACCACACAGACUAUUAUUCGAACUGCAUAACUCGAGAAUGGUAGAGGUAACUGGAAUUUCUUGUGUAGGAGUGAAAUCCGUAGAUAUAAGAAGGAACACCAAUGGCGUAGGCAGGUUACUGGGCCAUUUCUGACGCUAAGGCACGAAAGCGUGGGGAGCGAACCGGAUUAGAAACCCGAGUAGUCC
rnacentral:rRNA from 1 species